rnacentral:rRNA from 1 species
AUGUUCGCUUUCACUUUGAUGGGUGCUACUAUUGAACGCUCAUUUGGUGACAGUCGUGGACCUAAGAUUUUUAAGAUCAGUGGGCAAGUGUCUCAUCGUAUUGGUUCAUUGGUGACUAGCGGUGAUGAUACCCCUAAGUUUGCUGAGUUGUAUGUACAUGACCCAGCUAAUGAGAUUAGUCAUAGGAUGAAUGCCUUAAAUCCAGAUGAUAAGCCUAUUGGGGGUGUGGAUGGGAGUAUUGUGGUUGGUCUUAGAGACAUGCUUAAUGAGUUUAACCCAUUGGUACAGACCUUUCGGGAGGCGAGUAAGAUGAUAGAGGAUCGUGGUGAUGAACCCAUCGAGGAGGCAAUAGUCCACAGUUUAGUUUGCCUACAACCACUGGUCUUGCUACUUUAG